UAGGGAAUCUUCGGCAAUGGACGAAAGUCUGACCGAGCAACGCCGCGUGAGUGAAGAAGGUUUUCGGAUCGUAAAACUCUGUUGUUAGAGAAGAACAAGGACGUUAGUAACUGAACGUCCCCUGACGGUAUCUAACCAGAAAGCCACGGCUAACUACGUGCCAGCAGCCGCGGUAAUACGUAGGUGGCAAGCGUUGUCCGGAUUUAUUGGGCGUAAAGCGAGCGCAGGCGGUUUCUUAAGUCUGAUGUGAAAGCCCCCGGCUCAACCGGGGAGGGUGAUUGGAAACUGGGAGACUUGAGUGCAGAAGAGGAGGGUGGAAUUCCAUGUGUAGCGGUGAAAUGCGGAGAUAUAUGGAGGAACACCAGUGGCGAAGGCGGCGCUCUGGUCUGUAACUGACGCUGAGGCUCGAAAGCGUGGGGAGCAAACAGG
rnacentral:rRNA from 1 species